GUUCAGUUGGUGUUUUCCUCUGAAAUGUCAAUUAAAACACCAGUACCGCCAGUCGAAUGAAUCUUAUAGUUACUAACAUAAUAACAAUAUGAACCCGGUAAGUUAAUUAUUUAAAGAUGAAAAUAAAUCCGUUGUUUUUGUUUUUCUUGUUUUUAUCAUGCAUCAUUCAUACCUGGGUUCACGCAACCAAUGUUGGGUUCAGGAAACCGAUUAAUGAAACCAGGAAUAGAAUCCGACAAACAAUUCCAAAACACCGACUGCGGGAGUACUACGACAGAGUGGUUGAGAUAAAACACAAAGCGCUUGAGCGAAAGGAGCACGAGAUUACUAAUCCAGUUGCAAGGAAAUUUUUACGACAUGCACACAGAAGGCGUACAAAAGAGAGGUGGGGAUUUCUCAAGUCUAUCUGGUCCUGGUAUAUUAUAACAAAGUGUCAAUCAAACGAGCAUUGUGCUUACAAAUGUAAAUACAGAACCAGUUUAUAUACCAGUCCCUUCUCUCAGUUCUGCACCAUUCAUGCGAUCUGUCAGAAGGCCGGAUGUCUCUGUGGAUGUCGAGAGUUUGAAAGAAUCUUUUGAAAACGGAUAUGUCUGCAAACUGACUAAACAAACUCAAUCGGUGAUGAUCAUCU